rnacentral:rRNA from 1 species
UACGGAGGGUGCAAACGUUGCUCGGAAUCAUUGGGCGUAAAGCGCACGUAGGCGGCUUAGCAAGUCGGAAGUGAAAUCCCACGGCUCAACCAUGGAAGUGCUUUCGAAACUGCUGAGCUUGAGUACUUAAGAGGAUCGCGGAAUUCCCGGUGUAGAGGUGAAAUUCGUAGAUAUCGGGAGGAACACCAGUGGCGAAGGCGGCGAUCUGGGAAGAUACUGACGCUGAGGUGCGAAAGCGUGGGGAGCAAACAGG